UGUAUUAUAUUUCAUGGAGUGUAUAAUAAUUUAUUAAUUUAGAUAGCUAUCAAAUACUAGUUGAGCUUGGAGCACAAAUUUCGUGAGUCAUGUUAGUGUAGAGAAUUGCUUUUUAUUUUUAUUUGAUCUAAUUUUGAGGGCCACAAAAUAAGGCUUAUGGGAAAAGCCAAGUUUUCCUCUUAUUCUUUAUUUCUCCCACAAGCCCCAAAUGGGCCGAUCAAUGAGGGAACCAAAAUUGGUUUCAAAGUUAAAUUCUCAUUUCAACAAAUGAGUUUUAAAUUGUUAAUAAUUGCAACUCCCAAGAAAGAGGCUAUACAUAUAUUCUUUACAUUCAAAGGAAACUCAUUUUUCCUUCUUCUACCAUUAACUGUCGAGUUUUUCCCCCAAGAGCAGAACCACCAUUUUCUUCCUUCAAGUUCAAUUUCGGAGAGAAAUUUCAAGUAGUAGCUGCAAUAUUUUGAAAGAAAAGGUUCGAGUGGCAGUGUAGAAUGGACAAGCAAAGACUUCUAUUUCAUUAAGCAUAUCAGGUUAAGCUGUGAUGCAGAUGGUAGCAAGCAGAGCAAAGCCUUCGGUGUAUAUAUGUAUAAUUUAGGCUCGGGAUUUCAUGUCCUCAUACAUGUAAUCCACUUGAGUUGUUUCCGCUGCAACACUUAAUGUACCUUACUUUAUUGAUGUGUUGUAGAGAUUUUAAACCAAUAGCUUCGAGAAUUAUAUCAUUUAGACAACUUGUCGUUGUGUUAUUGUAAGUUGUCUACUCGUGAGUUUUAAAAGUGAUUGUAUAUGAUUACCAUACAUUAUGGUAAAGUAUUGCUUAAGUAAAAUAAUUAUUUUUAUUGAAA